CUUCCAUUUAUUAGUCCAAUUUAGAAUGGAACUCAGUCCAAACAUUACAACAUCAAAUUAUAAAUAAUUUCCACACCAAUUCCCAACGAAUAUAAUUGUGGAAAAUCCGCAUCUAUCACGAAAACAACAGAAAGAAAGAAGUACAACAACAGAAACUUUAAUCUAGAAUCUAUAUACAUGAUAGAAAAACUGUGCUAGAUUUGUCCCCGACUCCAGAGCUGCCAUUCUGAUCCAUGCUAUUGCUAUAUAUAUAGACUUCCUGCACAAUUCAUCUCAGACUGCAUCUCCAUUUGGCAGUAAGUCCAUCAUCUAAUUAUUCUUCAUGUACCUGAAAACUUUAAUUCCAUUUGUAAGUCUCUGUUAAGUGAACUAUCUUAAUUUUUGAACCUUUUCG
rnacentral:misc_RNA from 1 species